rnacentral:tRNA from 1 species
AUGCGCGUAGCUCAGCUGGUAGAGCGGCGGUCUCCAAAACCGCAGGUCGUUGGAUCGAAGCCAACCGCGCAUGCCA